rnacentral:rRNA from 1 species
AUGCUGCACACCCACUGGUGCGGCAAGGCUGAGGACGCCAUUGUCGAUGAAGACCUCAUUCUCAUCGCUUCGCUUGACGAGUUAUCGUUGUCCAUAGUGGCGGCGGCUACCGCCUUGGCAUCGACAAUUUAUUGGCACCACCAAGCUAUCAUGCAUAGGUGUGACUUGACAUUGGGGUGGUUUACCCAAGAACAAUGCCACCUUAAAUCGCAGUUGCUUUUAUCUCCGCAUUCACUAAAUGAAAUGCUGAAUCCAUGUUGUCUUUGCCUGCGCCGACUCCUUCCGCCCAGCGCCCGCCUCUUGCCCCAUGCGCUACGUCCAGUUUUGAUCCGCCGCCGCCCCUGCCUUCCUGCCCGCCUCCCUCCCCAUCGGGUGCUGCCCCUCCUCGCCGUCGACUUCCGGAGCUGCCUCCCUCCCCGUCCAGUGCCCUCCUCCUUCUCCGCCUCCCUCCCCUGUCCAGCGCCUCCGGUACCGACGCUAGCCUGGACGAACAGCGCCGAAGCUUCAGCAACGGGUUUGAUUGGAUUGUUUCAAGGAAAACCAAGAAAAGUUUAUCUAUAUUUCAACCAUUUGCAUCAUCAAUUUUCCAACCGAAGGAACUCUGAGACCACAGUCCGUGAUUCGAUCCCUCCUAUUGACCUUGCUUGGGCAUUGAAGAUGCAUAGCAGCAGCAGGGGGCACGAUAUCAUGCCUAGGGAGGUCAGCAAGAGGAGUAGGAUACACAUGGCCAAUGCACGAGAUGGUUGCGGCGCGUCACUUCCAUACGAGAUGAUCAUAGAGGUGCUGCAGUGGCUCCCCGUCAAAUCCGUCUACCGCUUCCGGGCCGUUUGCCGGUCCUGGGCUGCGCUGCUCUCCUCCGAUGAAUUCCGCCGCACCCACAUGGCAGCAGCUAAGGCCACGAGAUGGUGGGCACCACCACCACAGAUGCUACACAUCUCACCCACCACCACAUUCGACUCUACCGCGGUUUACUCGUGCUCCUUAUCGCCAUCAUCACCAUUAGGUUGCCCCAGAGAUCACGGGGACCUACUGUUCACCAUCGAUGGUGCCCGUGGCAAUUGUGUGGAAGUAGUGACACCAGCGCCGUGCCACGGCCUGACUCUCCUCUACGAUGCUCUUGACCCAGCCUACUACAUCUGCAAUGCGGCCACACGGGCUGCCACGCGUCUGCCACCUUCCACUGAUGAACGGGCAUCCAGGUCCGCUGCUGGGCUGGGGUUUGAUUCCCGUGCAGAGGAGUACAAGGUGGUGAGGUUGAUCAAUAGGGUGUUUACUCAGAAGGACUUGGUGAGGUGUGAGAUUUACACGCCUGGAGGCCGCUUCGGGGAUCACUGGAGACCACCUGCCGGAGGAAUACCCUCCAGCUUGCAUCAGUUUAUGAAACCGGCCUCUUUCAUCACGACACCGAGUGUUGCUGUUGUAUCCUUCUCGGUCACGGCUGAGACCUUCACAUGUCUCCGGUCACCACCUUUCUGGGUACCAGGAGCAGAGCCAGCCUCCAGGAAUUGGUCAUCAGGAGAGCAACUAGUGGAGAUGGAUGACCAACUAUGUUUGGUCCGAGACACUCGCAAGACAAUCCCUUAUGCUAACACUUUGGAGAUCUCGAGGCUGUCGGACUGUAGCUCUGGUGACUGGUUACUGAGUCAUCAGAUCAAUUUGUCGGGCCACCUGGCAAGAGAUUUAGGCCAGUCGCAAAUGCUGAGAAUUAUUGGAUCUUUUGGCAUCAAUAGCAGGCCGCCAAGGAAGAAGAUAAUCAUCACUAGUAGCAAGCACAAGAUUUUUGACAAUUCAAGAUUCAGUUUCAUUCAGGAGACCCUCGCUCCCGUGCAUAAAACAGAUGAAGAGAUAGCCUUAUCAUCUGACCUGGCUAAGGUGACUGGAGAGAUCCUACUCCGCCUCCCAGCUAAAUCAGCGAUACACUCCAAGUUUGUGUGCAAGCAGUGGUCCAGAUUGAUUGAGAGUGAAAAAUUCAUUCAGUCAUACUUUCAGCAUAAGAACAUGGACAAAAGACCUAAGCCUUGCCAUGGGCUGAAUUUGAUAAGCACCGAGACGAAGGACUAUCUCUGCAACCCAUGUACAGGUUUCCACAAGGGCUACUCGCUAGGGCCAAGUUUGCUGCGGAGAAUGCCUAAAACAGAAGAGCAUGCUUUCACAGUCGGCAAUAGGAAUGUUGGCCUGACUUUCGAUCCUUCGACUCAUCAACAUGUUAUCAUGGCAAUCUUCUAUCGCCGGAAGGACUUCAAAUCUCGUCAAUAUGACCUGACAUGCACGUUAUGCUGGUGUAACUCUGGGGAUCCUGCCCAACUGAACUCGGUACCGCCUCUGCCUGUGAAUGACAUGCCGCCGGCCUAUGUUGAUGGAAUGUUGUACUGGAUGAAUGAACCAAGGUUGGGACAGAGCUGCGAAUGGGCCAUUCUCUCUUUCAACCUUGCUACAAGAACCUUUGAUGUCGUCCUGUGCCCUUCGUGGUUUGCAAGAUGGAAUAGCAGAAACCGCUGUCUUGCAUUUGUUGUGGAACUGGAGGGAUUAUUGUGUGCUGUUCUAGCAGACCCAGUGGCAAACAGAUUAGAUGUAUGGAAGCUAGAGCAUGGCCAAUGGGGAAGAGCAUACACAAUUGACCUCGAGGCAUGUCCUGAUUAUUCCCUUAAGACAACUGUUGUCGUGCCAUUAGCUGUUGACCCUGAUUAUGGGAGGAUCCUGCUCAACAUUGGGCGUAAAAUAGGGCUGUAUGAUCCAGUAAAUCAGACAAUUCAAAGUUUGUAUUCACUUGAUCAGGCGCCGGUUCCUUUUGUUCCUAUGUUAUAUGAGGAGAGCUUGGCAUAUUACUCCCGUGUGCCCAAAAAAAGUGGACAUGACCGUACGGCCGCUUAUCCGCAUUCAUGUCGGCUAACCGGCGCGGCGAUCGAGAAGGCUACUCGGUCUAUUGCCCGCUUUGAAGCAGCGUCGGCCUGCCUGCCCCGGCUAUUUAAGCAGCUGGCCGGCACGGCGCAAGCCCUAAGAACAUACUUUCAGCAUAGGAACAUACCUAAGGUCAUGCUUGUUUUCAAGGGCACUGGACGAUUUGGCUUCAGUUUUGCUCCAUUGAAUAAAUGCCUCCAAGAAGCUCCUAGUCACAGUACAUUGCUUGAUACAAAGGUGGUUUGCUCCAAGCCUUGCCAUGGGCUGAACUUGGUGCCGGUUGCCAGUAGUGCACACCAAAAGUUUCUUGAUAUGCCUUCAACUUCAUCAGGGAAUAGUUCGACAUGCUCCAAAGAAGACUCAGUGGCGGAGAUGAAUAGAAUGGACUCUAAAAUGAUUCCUUUUGUUCCAUUGUUAUAUGAGGAGAGCUUGGCAUCUUACACCCGUGUGGCAUCUUACACCCUUCUUUAUAUGAAAUAUCUAUUUGUGAUAUCUUGCCUGCAUGUUUGA